CCAAAGGCCCUUCUCAGGGCCACCCACUUCUCUCUGGGAAGAGCAGU
rfam:Oryctolagus cuniculus chromosome 12, whole genome shotgun sequence.